rnacentral:rRNA from 1 species
CCUACGGGUGGCAGCAGUGAGGAAUAUUGGUCAAUGGUCGGGAGACUGAACCAGCCAAGCCGCGUGAGGGAGGAAGGUACAGAGUAUCGUAAACCUCUUUUGUCAGGGAACAAAGGCGGGGACGUGUCCCCGGAUGAGUGUACCUGAAGAAAAAGCAUCGGCUAACUCCGUGCCAGCAGCCGCGGUAAUACGGAGGAUGCGGUCGUUAUCCGGAUUUAUGGGGUUAAAAGGGUGGGCGGGCGUGCUGUUAAGUCAGCGGUCAAAGCCCGGGGCUCACCCCCGGCCCGCCGUUGAAACUGGCAGUCUCGAGUUGGAGAGAAGUAUGCGGAAUGCGCGGUGUAGCGGUGAAAUGCAUAGAUAUCGCGAAGAACUCCGAUUGCGAAGGCAGCAUGCCGGCUCCACACUGACGCUGAGGCACGAAAGCGUGGGUAUCGAACAGGAUUAGAUACCCGAGUAGUC